rnacentral:tRNA from 1 species
GCCUUGGUGUGAUUAGGUGGGACGGGGUUCACGGGAGUUAAAAUCCGUUGACCGCAAGGUCGUGCGGGUUCGACUCCCGCCCUCGGCACCA